rfam:TPA: Bos taurus chromosome 11, whole genome shotgun sequence.
UCCCUGGUUGUCCAGUGGUUAGGACGCCACACUCUCACUGCCAAGGGUCCAGGUUCAAUUCCUGCUCAGGGAA